rnacentral:rRNA from 1 species
UACGUAGGUGGCAAGCGUUGUCCGGAGUUAUUGGGCGUAAAGCGCACGUAGGCGGCUUUCUAAGUCGGGGGUGAAAUCCUGGAGCUCAACUCCAGAACUGCCUUCGAUACUGGAGAGCUCGAGUCCGGGAGAGGUGAGUGGAACUGCGAGUGUAGAGGUGAAAUUCGUAGAUAUUCGCAAGAACACCAGUGGCGAAGGCGGCUCACUGGCCCGGUACUGACGCUGAGGUGCGAAAGCGUGGGGAGCAAACAGG